rnacentral:rRNA from 1 species
UACGAAGGGGGCUAGCGUUGUUCGGAAUUACUGGGCGUAAAGCGCACGUAGGCGGAUAUUUAAGUCAGGGGUGAAAUCCCAGAGCUCAACUCUGGAACUGCCUUUGAUACUGGGUAUCUUGAGUAUGGAAGAGGUGAGUGGAAUUCCGAGUGUAGAGGUGAAAUUCGUAGAUAUUCGGAGGAACACCAGUGGCGAAGGCGGCUCACUGGACUGGUAUUGACGCUGAGGUGCGAAAGCGUGGGGAGCAAACAGG